rnacentral:rRNA from 1 species
UAGGGAAUCUUCGGCAGUGGGGGCAACCCUGACCGAGCAACGCCGCGUGAGUGAAGAAGGUUUUCGGAUCGUAAAGCUCUGUUGUAAGAGAAGAACGAGUGUGAGAGUGGAAAGUUCACACUGUGACGGUAACUUACCAGAAAGGGACGGCUAACUACGUGCCAGCAGCCGCGGUAAUACGUAGGUCCCGAGCGUUAUCCGGAUUUAUUGGGCGUAAAGCGAGCGCAGGCGGUUAGAUAAGUCUGAAGUUAAAGGCUGUGGCUUAACCAUAGUACGCUUUGGAAACUGUUUAACUUGAGUGCAGAAGGGGAGAGUGGAAUUCCAUGUGUAGCGGCGAAAUGCGUAGAUAUAUGGAGGAACACCGGUGGCGAAAGCGGCUCUCUGGUCUGUAACUGACGCUGAGGCUCGAAAGCGUGGGGAGCAAACAGGAUUAGAUACCCUGGUAGUCCACGCCGUAAACGAUGAGUGCUAGGUGUUAGACCCUUUCCGGGGUUUAGUGCCGCAGCUAACGCAUUAAGCACUCCGCCUGGGGAGUACGACCGCAAAGGUUG